rnacentral:rRNA from 1 species
GUAAACGGCGGCCGUAACUAUAACGGUCCUAAGGUAGCGAAAUUCCUUGUCGGGUAAGUUCCGACCCGCACGAAAGGCGUAACGAUUUGGGCACUGUCUCAACGAGAGACUCGGUGAAAUCAUAGUACCUGUGAAGAUGCAGGUUACCCGCGACAGGACGGAAAGACCCCGUGGAGCUUUACUGUAGCCUGAUAUUGAAAUUCGGCACAGCUUGUACAGGAUAGGUAGGAGCCUUUGAAACGUGAGCGCUAGCUUACGUGGAGGCGUUGGUGGGAUACUACCCUAGCUGUGUUGGCUUUCUAACCCGCACCACUUAUCGUGGUGGGAGACAGUGUCAGGCGGGCAGUUUGACUGGGGCGGUCGCCUCCUAAAAGGUAACGGAGGCGCUCAAAGGUUCCCUCAGAAUGGUUGGAAAUCAUUCAUAGAGUGUAAAGGCAUAAGGGAGCUUGACUGCGAGACCUACAAGUCGAGCAGGGUCGAAAGACGGACUUAGUGAUCCGGUGGUUCCGCAUGGAAGGGCCAUCGCUCAACGGAUAAAAGCUACCCCGGGGAUAACAGGCUUAUCUCCCCCAAGAGUUCACAUCGACGGGGAGGUUUGGCACCUCGAUGUCGGCUCAUCGCAUCCUGGGGCUGUAGUCGGUCCCAAGGGUUGGGCUGUUCGCCCAUUAAAGCGGUACGCGAGCUGGGUUCAGAACGUCGUGAGACAGUUCGGUCCCUAUCCGUCGUGGGCGUAGGAAAUUUGAGAGGAGCUGUCCUUAGUACGAGAGGACCGGGAUGGACAUACCUCUGGUGUACCAGUUGUCGUGCCAACGGCAUAGCUGGGUAGCUAUGUAUGGACGGGAUAAGUGCUGAAAGCAUCUAAGCAUGAAGCCCCCCUCAAGAUGAGAUUUCCCAACUUCGGUUAUAAGAUCCCUCGAAGAUGACGAGGUUAAUAGGUUCGAGGUGGAAGCGUGGUGACACGUGGAGCUGACGAAUACUAAUCGAUCGAAGACUUAAUCAAUUUUUAAA